AACGAGGAAUGUAUUGAUUGUAUAAUUAAGUUCAUUUAUUUUUUUUAUUUUUUCAUGUGAAAACUUUUUCUACUAGACCACAUAAUCCGAUUAUCAAGUAUAGCACAUUUUCUGAAAGAAACUUUUCUCUAGUGGUACUUUAGAGGGGUCAUUUUUCUAAAUUCUCAUUAAUAUUCGACAUAAUGAGGAAAAACUCGAUCUUUAGGUUAAAAAAAGAUUGAAAGAUUAAAAAUAAGGUUGUCAUUUGCCUCAGAAUCGUUUUUUCGUUAUCAAUGGUUUAUAUUCGGUGUAAAUAAUAAUAAGUUUACGACAUCACUGGUUUGUAAAAGUACGUCAUAGAAUAAUUAAAAUACAAUGAGUAGUGCGUCAACGGAUAUUACGUUGACCUUGGCAGUUUGCAUGAUGUUAAAU